GUGUGACCCCAGACCAGUUAAUUAACCCUUCUGAACAUCACUUUUCUUGACUCUGAAAGAGGAGUACUGGAGUGCCCACCAUGUGAGUCUGCUCUCUGAAUCAAAUAGAACCAUGCCUGAGUAGCGUUCAGCGUAGGACUCGGCACAUUGCUAAACAACUGGAUAUGCAUGGAAUGGCCAGCUAAGAAAGCAUGCGUUCUGGAUUGUGUAUGUGCCUCAAGCAUGUGGUCAGUCAGAUUCGCACCUGGGACUUUUGUUAGAGGUCUUAGGACAGGUGUGUGUUCACAUGUGUUUACUUUGGACUCGCCAGCCAUGAGGAUCGUUUAGGCCUGAAGCUAGAGAUGACCACUGUCCAGUCCAAUGGAAGGAGUCUACCUGAAGAUGACAACAACAUAGAGGAAAAGAGAGCCGAGAAAUGCAGAAUGGCGUGCGCCUGCUGACUACACCGGAUGCCUGGACCCAGCUGUGCCCGAAGUCAGAAGUCAAUCUGGAUGUGUCAGUGACGACAACAAUGAAUUCCUUUUUAUUCCUAAAGCAGAUUGACAGAUGCUGCUGUUGCUUGCGGCUGCAGUGGUCUUGCUAUUACACCCUCCUCCAUCUGAUCUGAACUCCAAAUGGAGAGGUUUUGAAACAGCAGUAGAAGGGGUGGUAUUGCCGCACGAUGUUACUGAAGAACUCCGUGUAGAAGGACUGAUGUAGACACAUGCUCGUGUUGGUUGCUGCUGCCACCUUGGGAGAGGUGUUAGUCAACGUGUGUGAACAUAAACGGGAAGAAGGACUCACCCAGUGGUCUGGAUCGACUGGUUUUAACCAGUCCAUCCUAAAGGAAAUCAACCCUGAAUAUUCAUUGGAAGGACUGAUGCUGAAGCUGAAGCUCCAGUACUUUGGCCACCUGAUGCGAAGAGUCAACUUAUGGAA
ensembl:lncRNA